ACAGAUCGUUCAGAGUUUGAUCCUGGCUCAGAUUGAACGCUGGCGGCAUGCCUUACACAUGCAAGUCGAACGGCAGCACGGACUUCGGUCUGGUGGCGAGUGGCGAACGGGUGAGUAAUACAUCGGAACGUGCCUAGUAUGGGGGAUAACUACUCGAAAGAGUGGCUAAUACCGCAUGAGAUCUACGGAUGAAAGCAGGGGAUCGCAAGACCUUGUGCUACUAGAGCGGCUGAUGGCAGAUUAGGUAGUUGGUGGGAUAAAAGCUUACCAAGCCGACGAUCUGUAGCUGGUCUGAGAGGACGAUCAGCCACACUGGGACUGAGACACGGCCCAG
rnacentral:rRNA from 1 species